GCCAGGCAUGGUGGCUCAUUCCUGUCAUCCUGGCACUUCGGGAGGCUGAGGCAGGAGGAUCGCUUGAGCCCAGGAGGUUGAGGCUGCAGUGAGCUGUGAUUGAACCACUGCACUCUGGCCUGGGCGACAGAGUGAGAUCCUGUCUCAA
ensembl:misc_RNA Metazoa_SRP Metazoan signal recognition particle RNA